UUUCCGUAGGUGAACCUGCGGAAGGAUCAUUAAAAAAUGAGACCUCGAUUUGAAGGUCUAUUAAUGAUCCUACCCUUUGUGAAUUUGUUUGUUUUAUUAUGUGUCUUUCCCUGGUUCUGAUGGAGCUUGUUUAAAGCAAAUCAAUCCAGGGGAAUGGCAAAACUUUUUUUUAAAAUUAAACUUUUUGUAUUCAUUUGCCUAAAAUUAUUUUUAUAAUAUAAAACAACUUUUGACAAUGGAUCUCUUGGUUCUCGCAACGAUGAAGAACGCAGCAAAAUGCGAUAAGUAGUGUGAAUUGCAGAAUACGUGAAUCAUCGAAUCUUCGAACGCAUAUUGCACUUUUUUAGUUUACUAAAAAAGUAUGUCUGUUUGAGUAUCAGUAAAAUAUUCUCAUAAAAACUUUUUGUUUUUAUGGUUAUGAGUGUUUUACAACGAUACAAGUUGUUUCACUUUAAAUUCUUUGUCUUUUAAAAAUCAUUAAAACUGAUUUUUUUUAAAAAUUGGAUAAAAUUUUCCCGUAAAAAGGAAUAACCUAAACAAUUUAAAAAUUAAAUUGGUUUGAUUUCUUUUAAGAAUCAAAAGGAAAAAAAGUAAAAAUUAACUUGAUCUCAAAUCAGAUAAGAGUACCCGCUGAACUUAAGCAUAUCAAUAAGCGGAGGAAAAGAAGCUAACAAGGAUUCCUUAGUAACGGCGAGUGAAGCGGGAAGAGCUCAAAUUUGAAAUCUUCAAGGUUUUACCUUGACGAAUUGUAGUUUAAAGAAGUGUUUUCUGUUGGAGUUUUGGUAAAAGUUCUUUGGAAUAGGACAUCAUAGAGGGUGAGAAUCCCGUAUUUGACCAUUAUUUCCAGCUGUGUGAUACACUUUCAAAGAGUCGGAUUGUUUGGGAAUGCAGUCCAAAAUGGGUGGUAAAUUCAUCUAAAGCUAAUAUUGGCGAGAGACCGAUAGCGAACAAGUACCGUGAGGGAAAGAUGAAAAGAACUUUGAAAAGAGAGUUAAACAGUACGUGAAAUUGUCAAAAGGGAAGCGUUUGACACCAGUGUUGUUUUCUCGAAAAUCAAUUAAAAAUGGUGGGAUGUUGUGUUGUAUUGACUUAUCAGCUUUCUGCACUUUUUCCUAUCUUUUUAAUGCACUUUUCGUUUAACAAGUCAACAUCAAUUUCUUUUGUUGUAAAAGAGUCAUUGGAAGGUGGCUUUCUUUUCGGAGAAAGUGUUUAUAGCCUUUGGCUUCUGCAAUCGGAGAGAUUGAGGUCUGCAGCGUAGAUCCUUCGGGUUAGAUGCAUUGUGCUAAGUUAUAGCCUUUCAUAGACAACUUGUUGACUAUGAUCAGUCAUGUAGCUUACUCGCUUAUGCUAUUU
rnacentral:misc_RNA from 1 species